CACACACACACACACACACACACACACACACACACACACACACACGGUGUCAUAGUGAGAGGAAAAGGAGGGAUCACGUUCAAGAUUCUUUAUGACUUUAAAUCUGGCAAGUAUGUUGAGCAUCUGUACUCUGGUGCUUCAGAAUAAAAUCCAGUGAAACUAUUCAUGUGCAGCAUAUCUGAAUUUUCUGCCAGUGAAAUUUAAAACCUUUUAGGAAAUAAAUUUGGGAAAAUUAUCUUGAGAAACUUUUCAGUUGUAAUAAGAUAGAAAACAUGCUAAAAAACUACAAACGUUUUUGUUAUGAGAUUUUUUUUUUAAAUGAAACUUUUUAUUUUCAUUUCAUAACAUUGAGAAAAUUUCAGAUUAUCAGGAGUAACUGCUCCUGAAUGUAUUGUGAUGUGGCGAAAGUGAAUGUCAUCCUGCAAACUGGAGACAAAUUUUAACACCUUUCUAUUGUCUGACUGCAGAAAAUAGAAAGUGGUGGGGCAGAGACAGAAAAUGGCGCCCCCUUCAGUUCCAGGGUGCAACAUGGUAUGGAUCUGACUCCUGACCCGAUGCCACUCACUUUCUGCAGCCAGGUUCUUCUCAUAAAUUUGCACUUACCCAAGUUAGACACAAAAAGCUGGUUAGACUUAAACGCCUCGAGUCAAAACUUAUUAAACAUGUCAGGCAUGACUCCAACUGUCCCAUCAUAAAAACCUACAGGUACAAGAUCAAAUAGUGCUGCCACAACAAAAUGUAAGAUUUGUGAUUACUGUAUUUAAAGCCAACUUACAGUAAAAUAUGAAUGUAAUUUUACAUUCCAGGCCUUCAUUUUACAUUGCAG